GCCACUUCUCUUGUUCUCAGGGCCGAACCAACCAACCAACCAGCCUCCAUCUUGCCUGAUCCAAACCCAAUCCCCAUCGAUCCAAAAAAAUCCUCUCGGCCUCCAUCCAGCGCCUCAUCCCCCCCUCUCGUGCGUUGAUCGAGAGCAGCACCCUCAGGCCCCGAGCAACACCGCGCCAUGGCCCCCGCCGUCAAGCCGCAGCUCCUGCCCACAGAGCCCCUUGUCCCCGUGCCCCUAUUUCGCUCGGACCCCGCGACCAUGAGGAGACUGUGCAAGCGGCGCUGCUGCACCUCGUCACCAUCAGCUGCCCGCCGGAGUCCCCUGUCCGCCGUCUCUCUUUGCUUCCUUCCCCUGGACCUUCUUUGAACCUCUCUCUCUUUUCUUCAGUCAACAGUAGCAGUCGCUGCAUUCUCUCGCCGGUGAGCCCAGGGGAUGAGCCGCGCGCCCCUGCCUCCUUCCCCACGCCCGGAUCCGCCGACGUGUCGUCCCGGAGCCCUGCGUCCAAGUCCCGCGCCCCCACAACCUCGCUGCAGCUUGGCGCCGCCGCAAGUCCACGUCGUCGACGACCUCUGCUUCCCCUACAACAAAACGAGCACCUACCUGUGUUGACCGACCAGCCUCGGCUCGUCCAUGGUCGCGCUACACCAUGGCCUUGUAGCUCCCUUCCAUCGCGGCCGGCCCCGUUCGCCUCCACGUCGUCCCCGUCACCAUGUCCGACCGCGGGAGUCGCCACUGCAUCCCCUGCUUCACGACGAGGCACGCCCCUCGUUGACUUGAUCCAGCGCCCGAGUGGGCCAGCCUGCCAGCGCCCAAGGCCCAGAUGCGCCCCUGCCGGCCUGCCACUAUUACACCAACCAGGCCUCGGCCCAGGGUGAGCAGCCCCCCACCACCCUCUGUUAUUUUUUCCCGCCGAUUGGGCCAACCUGUUUCAGCCCAUUGUAGUUUUUUUAUGCGCUGUGAAUUUUGCCAUUUAACCAGAGACUGCCUGUUUUAUAGAAAACCCCUCAUAGUUCAUGCAUAUAAUAACUUAAUAACCAAUCAUCACAUGUAAAACUUAAUAUAUGAAACUUGCUUAGAAUUUUGUCUAGUUUCAUAAUUUGCCAUUUUCAUCUAUGUUUAAAAUGUUUAAAAUGCGGUUUGAUUAGAUUUGCCUCUAUGCCAUGUUAAAAUGCUUUAAUUCAUAACUAAAUAACCGUAGCUCGGAUUUAAAUAAUCUUUAUAUGUAAAUGGGGUAGAAAAUGCCUAGUUUAACAUGGUGGCAUCACUUUGCAUGUUUAACAACUAUAAAAUAUGGUUUAGGGCAGAACAGUACCAAACCUAAUAUAUGCAUAUGAGGAUUUUCUGGAAUUGUUGUUCGUUGUCUCCAGCCAUAUUUAAACUUGCCUAGAUAGGUAGUUUUCAUUUGCUUCACCCUCUUGACAUGUUUAACAACAUUUAAUAUUGUUGGGUACAUAACAAGAUCAAACUAAAUAAGUCAUGUGGGGUUUCGUCAAUAUUCAACGGAGUUGCAUGUUGAGCUCCACUUAAUUUGUAGGAUUGUUUGUGCAGUUUGCCAUGCCAUGCCUCAUUAAACCGGACAUGCAUCGUAGUUGUUUGCCCAUCGUGCCAUGCUUAUGUGAUGGUUGUUUACUAUGUUGUUUGCUCCUUUCCGGUGUUGCUUCUUUGGGUUGGUUCCGGUAACGUUGCGUUUGUGAGGAUCCGUUGACUACGUCCAUUUGUCUUCUUCGUGGACUCGUUCUUCUUCCUUGCAGGAUUUCAGGCAAGAUGACCAUACCCUCGAAAUCACUUCUAUCUUUGCUUGCUAGAUGCUCGCUCUUUUGCUAUGCCUAUGCUACGAUACCUACCACUUGCUUAUCAUGCCUCCCAUAUUGCCAUGUCAAACCUCUAACCCACCUUGUCCUAGCAAACUGUUGUUUGGCCAUGUUACCGCUUUGCUCAACCCUUCUUAUAGCUUUGAUAGUUGCAGGUGAAGAUUGGAGUUUGUUCCAUGUUGGAACAUGGACAUUUUGUUGGGAUAUCACAAUAUCGCUUAUUUAAUUAAUGCAUCUAUAUACUUGGUAAAGGGUGGAAGGCUCGGCCUUAUGCCUGGUGUUUUGUUCCACUCUUGCCGCCCUAGUUUCCAUCAUAUCGGUGUUAUGUUCCCGGAUUUUGCGUUCCUUAUGUGGUUGGGUUAUAAUGGGAACCCCUUGAUAGUUCACUUUUAAUAAAACUCCUCCAGCAAGGCCCAACCUUGGUUUUACCAUUCGCCACCUAGCCUCUUUUUCCCUUGGGUUAGGCCAGCCCAAGGGUCAUCUUUAUUUUAACCCCCCCGGGCCAGUGCUUGUCUAAGUGUUGGUCCGAAAUGGGCAGCCUGCGGGGCCACCUCGGGGAAACUUGAGGGCUGGUUUUACUCGUAGCUUGACCUAUCCGGUGUUGCCCUGAGAAUGAGAUAUGUGCAGCUCCCAUCAGGAUGUCGGUGCAUCAGGCGGCUUUGCUGGAUUUGUUUUACCAUUGUCGAGGAUGUCUUGUAACCGGGAUUCCGAGUCUGAUCGGGUCUUCCCGCUAGAAGGAAUAUCCUUCGUUGACCGUGAGAGCUUGUGAUGGGCUAAGUUGGGACACCCCUGCAGGGAUUUGAACUUUCGAAAGUCGUGCCCGCGGUUAUGGGCAGAUGGGAAUUUGUUAAUGUCCGGUUGUAGAAAACCUGAAGUUGAUCUCAAUUAAAACACAUCAACCGCGUGUGUAACCGUGAUGGUCUCUUUCCGGCGGAGUCCGGGAAGUGAACACGGUGUUGGAGUUAUGCUUGACGUAGGUUGUUCUAGGAUCACCUCUUGAUCAUAGUUUCUCGAUCGUGCUUUGCCUUCUCUUCUCGCUCUCUUUUGCGUAUGUUAGCCACCAUAUAUGCUAGUCGCUUGCUACAGCUCCACCUCAUACCUUUUACCCUUCCUAUAAGCUUGAAUAGUCUUGAUCGCGAGGGUGUGAGAUUGCUGAGUCCCCGUGACUCACAGUUACUUCCAAAACCAGUUUGUAGGUGCCGAUGUUACCAAGCAGAUGAUGCAACGGAGCUCAAGGAGGAGCUCGAUGAAGAUCUUGUCCUUGGUGUUGUUUCGUUCUAGUUGAUCAGUAGUGGAGCCCAGUUGGGGUCGAUCGGGGAUCUGUGUAGCUUUUGGGGUAGUCUUCUUUUAUUUUGGCUCCAUAGUCGGGCCUUGAUUGUAUUUGGUUGAUAUAAUGUUUUAUUCAUGUAAUUGUGUGAAGCGGCGGUUGUAAGCCAACUAUGUAUCUCUUUCCCUUUAUGUAUUACAUGGGUUGUUUGCGAAGAUUACCUCACUUGCGAUGUUGCUUUCAAUGCGGUUAUGCCUCUAAGUCGUGCUUCGACAUGUGAGAGAUAUAGCCGCAUCGAGGGCGUUACAAGUUGGUAAUCAGAGCCUUCCCUGACCUUAGGAGCCCCCUGCUUGAUUGAAUCACUGACGUUAUUGAGUCUAGAAAUGUUUUGAGUCAUUUAGGAUUAUAUAUAUCGGAGAGUUAGGAAUUUGUUUUUACUCCUCAGUCCCUUCAUCGCUCUGGUGAGGCAUCCUGACGCAGAGUUUUGACUCUUCUCUUCUCAAAUUUCAUUAAAAAAAUUUAGGAUCAUGCGGGUAUCUUGGAAUCGUUCCGAUGGAUUUGUGACGAGAACAUUGUUCUGGGUGCCUCCUAUCAUUUAGGGGUUGUGGCAGUGUCCCGGGGAGUUGAGCUCCGAGGUGUUGUCGUCACAAUUUUAUCGUUGCAGUUCUGGAAUACCUGAGUUAGUUUUGCCGACAUAAAAAAUCUCUUUUAUGCAGUUGUUGGUGAGAUAACCUCGACGCCACCCAGUACUGGGGCGGGAGUUCGGGAGUAUUGCCAUAACUCGUAUAAUGGAUGCUUUUCGAAGGUUGAGGUAGAUAAUUUCUGAAGGUUUCUUGGUUAUGUGUUGAAGGAUGGAUACAGCUGGAUGUAGGAUUUGCUAGUUUUGGGUGAGAUAUUAUGCUUCCCCUGUAUCCCCAACACCUGAUUGCAUAACUAGAAAGUUUCAGGAGUUUAUAAGUGGGAAUUCAAGUAGCUCCUAGGAUUUCUUUCCGACAGAUGUAUGAUACGAAAUUGGGGUUCGACGUCUAGUGGUCCGCCUAUCCACGGUUGGUUUUACAGUGGUCUCGUUGUGUCUUAAAGAGUCCUUGGCUAUGCCGGCCCGGGGACGCUUCGUAUGUCAUGUGCACUGCCUUGUACAUGAUGGUGUUGUACGAUCGAGCCCGUGUAGGCCCCACCACAAAAACUUCGGACGAAAUCUCUAUCAUAUGUUUGUUCUGGCUUAUUCUGCAAGCCAAUCCUUUGUUUUGUUUUGAGUUGUGGUAUUCGAGUUGCUUCAGAGACAAAUGUGGAUUCCAUCCCUUUCCUAAGCAGUGUUCUCAUAUUUUUAUGUGAAUACUAAUCCUUCUUGAUCGUCAAGAUUGUUUUGUCAAUCCUUUUUAACCGGCGUGCUUCUCUUCAAGUGGAUCCGAUCACUUCAACAUUCGCAAGAUCAAUUAUCAGUUCUUCUCAACGGUGUUUGUUUCAUCCGUCUCCAAGUUGCCUUUGUUUUUCCCGCCCACCCACCCUUUUUCCUCAAGUACUAAGAUUUCUUUAUCAAGUAUCCUUUUAUUCUUGUGAAGUCUCUCCAUUCUUUUCCGUCAAUGUUCUUACCCGGUGAUUUUCAUGAAGAUCCUAACGGAACCUCAAGUACAUCUUUACCCAUUCUAAUUCUUCUCCAGUGGUUUCAAUUCAAGCUUUCGGUGUUGAUCAUAUUCUUUUCCUAUUUCAAUGUUUUCUCAUGCUGGUGUACCUCAUAAUCAUUCAUUUCUUGCUAUUCAUUUGUUCCGGUGCCCUGAAGAUAUCUCAGAAGGCUUGUCUUGUCAUCCAAGAUCCGUUCAACCUAUUUCGAGGUUAUUAUCCCAUUCAAGCCAUUUAAUUCAACCGGUGCAAUCUCUCCUUCAAAUCAUUCAAUGGUGUAUCUUUUGAGUGGGCCCUAACCCACAGGUCUUUCUCCAGGAUCUUACCUGGCUCUUCUAUUUUUCCCCGGAGCUACCAUCAAAUUCUUUUCGAAGUUUGACGUAAGAAUGAUUUAUCUUCAGUCAAAUGCCUUUCUCCAAGAUCUUUCAAAUUCUUUUCAUCGUUGGUUCAACUUUCCAUUCUUCUUUAUUCUGGAGGAUCUCAACAAUUUGGUGGUGUUUCUCGGCGUAAUUCUUAGAUUCUGAAGACCGAAGAAGAGUUUCUUUUAAAUCUUGCCCCAUUCUCGGCCAUCAUCUCAUAAUUGUUUUUGAUUGUGAGAAUCCUUUUCACCCAUCCGGAGCUAUUCAAGAGUCUUCUCAGUUUGUUUUUCCAGAGUACAUCAUUUCAGGUUUAUUCAUUCCCAUAAUUCAGUUAUCAUUCUCCAAUCUUAAUGGUGCAUCGUUCAAGUGAUCUCUAAUCAGUUAUGAUCCCUUCGUUCUCAUGUAUCUAGAUUGUCUCAAGCAUCUUCGUUCUUUUUAUAAUUCUUCCCGGUGUUUCUUUAUCUUUACUUCGUUCAUUUUCAAUUCUUACCGGUGGCUCGUUCAAGAUUUCUCUUCCUUUGUUAUUGUAUCGAUUCAUUUGUUAUUUCUAUCCUACCGGUGGUUCGUUCAAUAUUUUCCCAAGUUUAUGCUACAUCUCUCUUCAAUCCUUUGCAACGAGAAUAAGUAGUUUGUAAAAUCCGUUGAUGGUCAUCAAUUUAAUUGGUGAAGGAUAAGCAUAAUGUAAUUCUUAUUCUUGUUUCAUCCAAGUGAUUAAUUCCUUAUUCCGGAGGUUCAUCAAAUUCUCGAUUUCAUGCAUCUGAUCUUUCUUUCCCGGAGUCCCAACCUUUACAAUUAUUUCACCACGGAGUUUCAUCUAAAUCAUUACAAGGUUUCACCUUGUGUUUUCAACUUCUCUUUCCUUUCGUUUGAUCAUUCCUUUUGUUUACUGGAGUUCUUUAUGAAGGUUCUACAUGAUGGAUCAUCAAGGAUUUAAUUCCUUCUCGAAGUGUUCAUCGAGAUUCUUUUUAGAGGAUCUCAAGCAUUCUUCAUCUUGCAUUUCGAAGUGCAAUUCUUUCUUCCAUAUCAUUGGAGGUGGUAUUAUGUCAUUCUCGAUAAUUUGAGUUCAUGUUUCAUGAUUCACAUGUUGUCAAGGAUGAGAUAUUUUAAAUCCAUCAAUCUUGUGAUUUUAGUUAUCUUGGGUUAUAUUCCACCUAAAGCCUUCCCUAAGGUUUGUUGCUGUCUAUGGUGCUUAUAAAGGACCCAAGUUCUUCUUUAUCCUCCCGAUGAAAUAUUUUCUCGUCUCCUUGUUCAUACCAAUCCGAUUCUUUUUCCCGUGAGUGGCAGCUUGUCACCUCAUAAUUUCAGAUGUAUUCCAUAAGACCAUAUCAAGCUUAUCCUUUUUCGUUGUUAGUUUUCCAACAACUCCGUCCGAACCUUAUCCUAAGUAUGCCUUUUCAAGCUCUUUUGAGGCAGAAGUUGACAUUUUCUUCUCCAUUCUCCUAUUUCAAUUAUCUAUAUUCUAUUCUUUCGUUCUGGAGGCAUUGCGAUGUUGUUCUUUUCACCCAUCAUCUCGUUUUGACAAAGAUCAUGUUCUUUUCAGGCCUAUCCUUUUAACCGGAGUGUUGUGCCAUUUUGCUCAAGUUAUUUUCGCCUUAUCAAGUCUUGCAUCUCUUUUAACCGGAGUGCCAUACGAAUUUGUUCUUCCUUGUUCCUCUUUCCUAACGGAGUGCUUUCAACUUCGUUCAUAUCCAUUGUAUUCUUUCCUCAAAAUGGCUUAACCUUUUCAAGGUUCUUUGGUUUCACUCGUUUGUCAAAGAAGCAACUUAUUUUUACCUCUUCUCUUUCUCUUCCGUUUUCCCUACGGUGCCAUUCUAGAUCUCGGGACGAGAUCCUCUCAUAGUGGUGGAGUGUUGUGACGCCCCGAGACUGAUGCGCCAGGUGUCUUCCAAUUAUUCGCCGAUGUUGCCAUGUCAUUCACUUGCGUGUUGCAUCUUGCCAUGUCAUCAGGUGCAUUGCAUCAUCAUGUUUUAAAAACUUGCAUUCGUCCGGAUUCUCUGAGUUCUCUCCGUUGUCCGUUCUGAGCCCAACCACACUUGCACACGCCCGCGGCAUGCCCGAAAUAGUAUUUUAUACGUGGCUGGAAAAUGUUCUUGGAUUGGGUUGAAAGUUGACGUGUGGUCUUAUUAUAGUGUAGAUAGACCGCCUGUCAAGUUUCAUCGCAUUCGGAGUUUGUUUGACAGCCCAACCGUUAAACUAUAGCGGCAUUAUAGCCGGUCUAACGUCGGACGUUUUCGGUUUUCGGAAACAGUCGCCAGGUCUCUCUCUUAUCUUCUCUCAGUCCAAGGCUUUCUGCACAGCCCACUGCCUACCGAUAGGCCCAACCUAACCUCUCUUGUCAGCCCGCGGACCUCCCCUCGCACGCGUCCGAAAGUUGUCUCGAACCCGACCCGGACAAUCGUUACCGUUGUGUCCGGAUCAUCCCCAAACAUCUACAAAACAUCUCCGUUUUCUUAUUUGGGCUCAUUAGCCUAUUUUUCCCGACCGUCCAAUUACGAUCGAAGGGAUGGAUUAGCCCCUACCCAAAUCCACUUGGUAUUUAUAACCAGACCAAACCCUAUAAUCUAGGAUUAUGUCCCAUCCAUCCCAUCCCCACGCCGCCGCCACUUCUCUUGUUCUCAGCGCCGAACCAACCAACCAACCAGCCUCCAUCUUGCCCGAUCCAAACCCAAUCCCCAUCGAUCCAAAAAUCCUCUCGUCCUCCAUCCAGCGCCUCAUCGCCCCUCCCGUGCCUUGAUCGAGGAUGGAUCGAGAGCAGCGCCGUCAGGCCCCGAGCAACACCGCGCCAUGGCCCCUGCCAUCAAGCCGCAGCUCCUGCCCACGGAGCCCCUCGUCCCCGUGCCCCUAUUUCGCUCGGACCCCGCGACCAUGAGGAGGCUGUGCGAGCGGCGCUGCUGCACCUCGUCACCAUCACCUGCCCGCCGGAGUCCCCUGUCUGCCGUCUCUCUUUGCUUUCCUUCCCCUGAACCUUCUCUGAACCUCUCUCUCUCUCUCUUUUCUUUAGUCAACAGCAGCAGUCGCUGCAUUCUCUCGCCGGUGAGCCCAGGGGAUGUGUCGCGCGCCCCUGCCUCCUUCCCCAUGCCCGGAUCCGCCGACGCGUCGUCCCGGAACCCCACGUCCAAGUCCCGCACCCCCACGACCUCGCUGCAGCUCAGUGCCGCCGCAAGUCCACAUCAUUGACGGCCUCAGCUUCCCCUACAACAGAACGAGCGCCUACCUGCGUUGACCGACCAGUCUUAGCUCGUCCAUGGCCGCGCUACGCCAUGGCCUUGUAGCUCCCUUCCAUCGCGGCCGGCCCCUUUCGCCUCCACGUCGUCCCCGUCGCCAUGUCCGACCGCGGGAGUCGCCGCUGCAUCCCCUGCUUCACGACGAGGCGUGCCCCUCGUUGACUUGAUCCAGCGCCCGAGUGGGCCGGCCUGCCAGCGCCCGAGGCCCAGAUGCGCCCCUGCCGGCCUGCCACUGUUACACCGACCGGGCCUCGGCCCAGGGUGAGCAGCCCCCCCAGCACCCUCUGUUAUUUUUUUCCCGCCGAUUGGGCCAACCUGUUUCAGCCAUUGUAUUUUCUUAUGCGCUGCGAAUUUUGCCAUUUAACCAGAGACUGCCUGUUUUACAGAAGACCCCUCAUAGUUCAUGCAUAUAAUAACUUAAUAACUAAGCAUCACAUGUAAAAACUUAAUAUAUGAAACUUGCUUAGAAUUUUGUCUAGUUUCAUAAUUUGCCAUUUUCAUCUAUGUUUAAAAUGCGGUUUGAUGAAAUUUGCCUCUAUGCCAUGUUAAAAUGCUUUAAUUCAUAACUAAAUAACCGUAGCUCGGAUUUAAAUAAUCUUUAUAUGUAAAUGGGGUAGCAAAAUGCCUAGUUUAACAUGUUGGCAUCACUUUGCAUGUUUAACAACUAUAAAAUAUGGUUUAGGGCAGAACAGUACCAAACCUAAUAUAUGCAUAUGAGGAUUUUCCGAAAUUGCUGUUCGUUGUCUCCGGCCUCAUUUAAACUUGCCUAGAUAGGUAGUUUUCAUUUGCUUCACCCUCUUGCCAUGUUUAACAACAUUAAAUAUUGUUGGGUACAUAAACAAGAUCAAACUAAAUAAGUCAUGUGGGGUUUUGUCAAUAUGCAACGGAGUUGCAUGUUGAGCUCCACUUAAUUUGUACGAUUGUUUGUGCAUUUUUCCAUGCCAUGCCUCAUUAAACCGGACAUGCAUCAUAGUUGUUUGCGCAUUGUGCCAUGCUUAUGUGAUGGUUGUUUACUAUGUUGUUUGCUCCUUUCAGGUGUUGCUUCUUCGGGUAGGUUCCGGUAACGUUGCGUUUGUGAGGAUCCGUUGACUACGUCCGUUUGUCUUCUUCGUGGACUCGUUUUCUUCCUUGCAGGAUUUCAGGCAAGAUGACCAUACCCUUGAAAUCACUUCUAUCUUUGCUUGCUAGAUGCUCGCUCUUUUGCUAUGCCUAUGCUACGAUACCUACCACUUGCUUAUCAUGCCUCCCAUAUUGCCAUGUCAAACCUCUAACCCACCUUGUCCUAGCAAACCGUUGUUUGGCUAUGUUACCACUUUGCUCAGCCCUUCUUAUAGCAUUGAUAGUUGUAGGUGAAGAUUGGAGUUUGUUCCGUGUUGGAACAUGGACAUUUUGUUGGGAUAUCACAAUAUCACUUAUUUAAUUAAUGCAUCUAUAUACUUGGUAAAGGGUGGAAGGCUCGGCCUUAUGCCUGGUGUUUUGUUCCACUCUUGCCGCCCUAGUUUCCGUCAUAUCGGUGUUAUGUUCCUGGAUUUUGCGUUCCUUACGCGGUUGGGUUAUAAUGGGAACCCCUUGACAGUUCGCUUUGAAUAAAACUCCUCCAGCAAGGCCCAACCUUGGUUUUACCAUUCGCCACCUAGCCUCUUUUUCCCUUGGGUUAGGCCAGCCCAAGGGUCAUCUUUAUUUUAACCCCCCCCGGGCCAGUGCUUGUCUAAGUGUUGGUCUGAAAUGGGCAGCCUGCGGGGCCACCUCGGGGAAACUUGAGGGCUGGUUUUACUCGUAGCUUGACCUAUCCGGUAUUGCCCUGAGAAUGAGAUAUGUGCAGCUCCCAUUAGGAUGUCGGCGCAUCGGGCAGCUUUGCUGGAUUUGUUUUACCAUUUGUUUUACCUCUUGAUCAUAGUUUCUCGGUCGUGCUUUUCCUUCUCUUCUCGCUCUCUUUUGCGUAUGUUAGCCACCAUAUAUGCUAGUCGCUUGCUGCAGCUCCACCUCAUACCUUUUACCCUUCCUAUAAGCUUGAAUAGUCUUGAUCGCGAGGGUGUGAGAUUGCUGAGUCCCCGUGACUCACAGUUACUUCCAAAACCAGUUUGCAGGUGCAGAUGUUACCGAGCAGAUGACGCAACAGAGCUCAAGGAGGAGCUCGAUGAAGAUUUUGUCCUUGGUGUUGUUUUGUUCUAGUUGAUCAGUAGUGGAGCCCAGUUGGUGUCGAUCGGGGAUCUGUGUAGCUUUUAGGGUAGUCUUCUUUUAUUUUGGCUCCAUAGUCGGGCCUUGAUUGUAUUUGGUUGAUGUAAUGUUUUAUUCAUGUAAUUGUGUGAAGUGGCGAUUGUAAGCCAACUAUGUAUCUCUUUCCCUUUAUGUAUUAAAUGGGUUGUUUGCGAAGAUUA
rnacentral:lncRNA from 1 species